rnacentral:rRNA from 1 species
GGAUUUCCUUAGUAGCGGCGAGCGAAAAGGAAAGAGUUCAGCACUAAGUCACUUUGUCUUUAUGGCAAAUGUGAGAUGCAGUGUAUGGAGUGUUCAAUUUCUAGUAUGAGAAAUUAACGAUUUAAGUCCUUCUUAAAUGAGGCCAUUUACCCAUAGAGGGUGCCAGGCCCGUAUAACGUUAAUGAUUACUAGAGAACAUUUCCAAAGAGUCGUGUUGCUUGAUAGUGCAGCACUAAGUGGGUGGUAAACUCCAUCUAAAACUAAAUAUAACCAUGAGACCGAUAGUAAACAAGUACCGUGAGGGAAAGUUGAAAAGAACUCUGAAUAGAGAGUUAAAAAGUACGUGAAACUGCUUAGAGGUUAAGCCCGAUGAACCUGAAUAUCCAUUAUGGAAAAUUCAUCGUUACGAUUGCUAUAUGAAUAAUAUAGUGAGAAUGGCGUGCAUUUUUUCCAUAUAAGGACAUUGUAAUCUAUUAACAUACACAAUUUAUCAUAAGAUCGAUGGCGAAAGUUUAUUCAAAUUAGUAUGCUUGCGUAUUAACAUAGAAUAAGUGCUGUCGAUUGGAUAAAGUGUUGAUAGAUCUAUUAUAUAUAGCGCUUGAAUACUUGUAUUCUAUAAUGGCACAUUAAUCUUGAUUUUUGUGUUUAUUAUAUGCGCUUAUAUGAUUUACAAUGCGAAAGAUUCAGGAUACCUUCGGGACCCGUCUUGAA